GCCGAAGGUGGCGAUCGUUGUUCGGAAUCACUGGGCUUAAAGCGCAUGUAGGCGGCCUGUCAAGUGUCUUGUGAAAUCCCCCGGCUCAACCGGGGAAUUGCUGGGCAAACUGAUGGGCUUGAGGCAGGUAGGGGCGAGUGGAACUCUUGGUGGAGCGGUGGAAUGCGUAGAUAUCAAGAGGAACGCCGGAGGUGAAGACGACUCGCUGGGCCUGUCCUGACGCUGAGAUGCGAAAGCCAGGGGAGAAAACGGG
rnacentral:rRNA from 1 species